rnacentral:rRNA from 1 species
GACGAACGCUGGCGGCGUGCUUAACACAUGCAUGUCGAACGCUGAAGCUCAGCUUUUGUUGGGUGGAUGAGUGGCGAACGGGUGAGUAACACGUGAGUAACCUGCCUCCUUCUUUGGGAUAACGCCCGGAAACGGGUGCUAAUACUGGAUAUUCACUGGUCUUCGCAUGGGGGUUGGUGGAAAGGGUUUUUCUGGUGGGGGAUGGGCUCGCGGCCUAUCAGCUUGUUGGUGGGGUGAUGGCCUACCAAGGCUUUGACGGGUAGCCGGCCUGAGAGGGUGACCGGUAACAUUGGGACUGAGAUACGGCCCAGACUCCUACGGGAGGCAGCAGUGGGGACUAUUGCACAAUGGGCGCAAGCCUGAUGCAGCGACGCUGCGUGAGGGAUGGAGGCCUUCGGGUUGUGAACCUCUUUCGCUCAUGGUCAAGCCGCAACAAUGGUUGUGGUGAGGGUAGUGGGUAAAGAAGCGCCGGCUAACUACGUG